UACGGAGGUCUCAAGCGUUGUUCGGAUUCAUUGGGCGUAAAGGGUGCGUAGGCGGUAUUGCAAGUCGGAUGUGAAAUCUUGGGGCUCAACCCCAAAACUGCAUUCGAUACUGCGGUGCUCGAGGACUGGAGAGGAGACUGGAAUUCACGGUGUAGCAGUGAAAUGCGUAGAUAUCGUGAGGAAGGCCAGUGGCGAAGGCGGGUCUCUGGACAGUUCCUGACGCUGAGGCACGAAGGCCAGGGGAGCAAACGGG
rnacentral:rRNA from 1 species